CGCACAUUGCGCCCUUUGGUAUUCCAAGGGGCAUGCCUGUCCGAGCGUCAUAAAACAAAGUCAAAGUUGAAUAUUAUUAAUUCACUUUGGUAUUGGACCUGGUGACUGAGAUCGCCUGUCUGAAUAGCAGUGCCAGUGCCUGUAAAAUGCCUGAAGCGUAGUAGAUUUUUCUUCCUUCAGGUUUUGCAGUGUAUUGGGCUACUUUCUCCUUAAUUGGAAAAUUUCUCAAGUUUGACCUCGGAUCAGGUAGGAUUACCCGCUGAACUUAA
rnacentral:misc_RNA from 1 species